GAUGAACGCUGGCGGCGUGCCUAAUACAUGCAAGUCGAGCGAACCACUUCGGUGGUGAGCGGCGAACGGGUGAGUAACACGUAGGUGAUCUGCCCAUCAGACGGGGACAACGAUUGGAAACGAUCGCUAAUACCGGAUAGGACGGAAGUUUAAAGGUGCUUCUGGCACCGCUGAUGGAUGAGCCUGCGGCGCAUUAGCUAGUUGGUAGGGUAAAGGCCUACCAAGGCGACGAUACGUAGCCGACCUGAGAGGGUGAACGGCCACACUGGGACUGAGACACGGCCCAGACUCCUACGGGAGGCAGCAGCAGGGAAUCUUCGGCAAUGGGCGAAAGCCUGACCGAGCAACGCCGCGUGAAUGAUGAAGGCCUUCGGGUUGUAAAAUUCUGUUAUAAGGGAAGAACGACUUUAGUAGGAAAUGGCUAGAGUGUGACGGUACCUUAUGAGAAAGCCACGGCUAACUACGUGCCAGCAGCCGCCGUAA
rnacentral:rRNA from 1 species